rnacentral:rRNA from 1 species
UAGAGUUUGAUCCUGGCUCAGGAUGAACGCUAGCGGCAGGCUUAACACAUGCAAGUCGAGGGGUAACAGGAAUAGCUUGCUAUUCGCUGACGACCGGCGCACGGGUGCGUAACGCGUAUAGAAUCUACCUUUUACUAAGGGAUAGCCUUUAGAAAUGAAGAUUAAUACCUUAUAGUAUUAUAGACUGGCAUCAGUUUAUACUUAAAGAUUUAUUGGUAAAAGAUGACUAUGCGUUCUAUUAGCUAGAUGGAGAGGUAACGGCUCCCCAUGGCGACGAUAGAUAGGGGUCCUGAGAGGGAGAUCCCCCACACUGGUACUGAGACACGGACCAGACUCCUACGGGAGGCAGCAGUGAGGAAUAUUGGGCAAUGGAGGCAACUCUGACCCAGCCAUGCCGCGUGCAGGAAGACGGCCCUAUGGGUUGUAAACUGCUUUUAUACAGGAAGAAACACUCCCUCGUGAGGGAGCUUGACGGUACUGUAAGAAUAAGCACCGGCUAACUCCGUGCCAGCAGCCGCGGUAAUACGGAGGGUGCAAGCGUUAUCCGGAAUCAUUGGGUUUAAAGGGUCCGCAGGCGGUCAAUUAAGUCAGAGGUGAAAUCCCAUAGCUCAACUAUGGAACUGCCUUUGAUACUGGUUGACUUGAGUUAUACGGAAGUAGAUAGAAUGUGUAGUGUAGCGGUGAAAUGCAUAGAGAUUACACAGAAUACCGAUUGCGAAGGCAGUCUACUACGUAUAUACUGACGCUCAUGGACGAAAGCGUGGGGAGCGAACAGGAUUAGAUACCCUGGUAGUCCACGCCGUAAACGAUGUCUACUUGGAGGUUGUGGCCUUGAGCCGUGGCUUUCGGAGCUAACGCGUUAAGUAGACCGCCUGGGGAGUACGGUCGCAAGAUUAAAACUCAAAUGAAUUGACGGGGGCCCGCACAAGCGGUGGAGCAUGUGGUUUAAUUCGAUGCAACGCGAAGAACCUUACCUACUCUUGACAUCCAGAGAACUUUUCAGAGAUGAAUUGGUGCCUUCGGGAACUCUGAGACAGGUGCUGCAUGGCUGUCGUCAGCUCGUGUUGUGAAAUGUUGGGUUAAGUCCCGCAACGAGCGCAACCCUUAUCCUUGUUUGCCAGCACUUCGGGUGGGAACUCCAGGGAGACUGCCGGUGAUAAACCGGAGGAAGGUGGGGACGACGUCAAGUCAUCAUGGCCCUUACGAGUAGGGCUACACACGUGCUACAAUGGCGCAUACAGAGGGCAGCCAACUUGCGAAAGUGAGCGAAUCCCAAAAAGUGCGUCGUAGUCCGGAUUGGAGUCUGCUACUCGACUCCAUGAAGUCGGAAUCGCUAGUAAUCGUGGAUCAGAAUGCCACGGUGAAUACGUUCCCGGGCCUUGUACACACCGCCCGUCACACCAUGGGAGUGGGCUGCAAAAGAAGUGGGUAGUUUAACCUUCGGGAGGACGCUCACCACUUUGUGGUUCAUGACUGGGGUGAAGUCGUAACAAGGUAACC